UUUUGGUGAGUGGCGGACGGGUGAGUAACACGUGGGUAACCUGCCCAAAAGUGGGGGAUAACAUUUGGAAACAAGUGCUAAUACCGCAUAACAACUGCUUUCACAUGAUCGCAGCUUGAAAGAUGGCUCUGCUAUCGCUUUUGGAUGGACCCGCGGCGUAUUAGCUAGUUGGUGAGGUAAUAGCUCACCAAGGCAAUGAUACGUAGCCGACCUGAGAGGGUAAUCGGCCACAUUGGGACUGAGACACGGCCCAAACUCCUACGGGAGGCAGCAGUAGGGAAUCUUCCACAAUGGGCGAAAGCCUGAUGGAGCAAUGCCGCGUGAGUGAAGAAGGUUUUCGGAUCGUAAAACUCUGUUGUUGAAGAAGAACAUGCGUGAGAGUAACUGUUCACGUACUGACGGUAUUCAACCAGAAAGCCACGGCUAACUACGUGCCAGCAGCCGCGGUAAUACGUAGGUGGCAAGCGUUGUCCGGAUUUAUUGGG
rnacentral:rRNA from 1 species